UGAGUUCGAAUCCCAUUACUCACCGUCACACUUUAAUUUUUUUUCCUUUUUGGUUUCUACAUUACUGUUUAUCACGAACAGUUUUCCACUUUUCCCCCAAAUUCUAAAACCCUAACUCCCCUGAAUCUCGCCAAUCGCCGCCCGCCGGCCACCUUUUAGUCCGUGACUCCGUGACGCAUUCCGCCUUUAGUCGUCCUUCACCGGCCACCUUCGUUCAAUCAAUCAGUUCGUGACGCUUCAGUCCACGGCCUCUACCAGUCAACCUGGUGUCUGUUUCGAACCCACACUUCGCAAAUCCUGGAGACGCCACUGCCUACAAGGAGGGGGUAAUGUGACAGUGGCGUAUAAGGGACUAAGGGAGACAUGUUUGGCGGCAGAAGCAGUAGCAGUUGGGUCCGCCAUUCAGUUCGUUUCUUUAAAAUUCAGCAUGCACCAACAACACGACCAUUUUGCAAUUCUACUGCUCUAAACAACAAAAUGAAGCACCAGCCUUGUGAUUCUGAUGGCAGCAACAGCUUUAAUUAUUUAAGAGACUUGGACAACCUUAAUUUUACUAAGGCUGCUAAGAUUCUUUUCUCCACUCCUCCCAAGAAGAAGAAUUUUGGGCUCGAUUUCCAUAUGGUGCAGCUCUUUUUUGCCCUCAUGCCAUCGCUGGCUGUGUAUCUCGUGGCCCAAUAUGCUCGUUAUGAUAUGAGAAAAAUGGAGGCGGAGCUGGAACUGAAAAAGAAAGCAGAGGAAGAACAAAAGGCAAAAGAGAUGGAAGCUGCUGCUGCGGAAGAAAAAGAAGCAGAGGCUAUAAGUCCAGAGCUUUUAAAGGUCAAAGAGAGGCUAGAAGCACUCGAGGAAACUUUGAAGGAAAUUGUGGUGAAAACAAAGAAAGGACCAAGUGACGAAAAGAGAAAAAUUGCAGAUCAAUAUCAAGAGAGAGUAGAUCCUAAUAGCAGAUCAGACGAUAGCAAUAUUCCUGCCAAAAACAAACCCACAACCCAGGAGGCAGCUUCACGACAGCCACAGAAGCAACUGGAUAGCGAAAAGAGCGUGUCUCAAGAAGUUGAUAAAAAGUGAGUUAAUCAUUUGAAAAAGCUGGUUUCUUGCUGCAAGUUUUCUGAACAUGCAUCCUGUUCAUUGUGCUGAGAGUUUCCCACCACCCCCCCGGGCCAGGAAUUACAAAGCAGUUGCCAGAAUCAACAUAGGAAUCCUACUGUGUAAGAGCUUAAAUUGCAUUCUGCAGGAAUCAGGACAGAGAAGCUUACCCAAAAUUAAUCAACAAAUGGUUAUCCAUUUUCCCCUUACACUUGUAUUCUCUUACCAUCUUGAUAAUCCUUGUAAUUUUGCGCACCGCAAUUGGUGUUGAUUACAACUGUUCUUCCUUAAUACCCAGUGGGAAGCUUAAGAAUGGUAGGGUAGAUAACUCGGGGGCUUAAGAGGGCCAGGUAUUGUGGCCACCUAGCUUUGGAGCUCCUUUGUGAUACUUCCCAAGCCAAAGACUUUUUUUUCUUUUUUUA